AGCAGCCGCGGUAAGACGUAGGGGGCGAGCGUUGUCCGGAAUUACUGGGCGUAAAGAGCACGUAGGCGGAUAUUUAAGUCAGAUGUGAAAGACCGCAGCUCAACUGCGGGGUUGCAUUUGAAACUAGGUAUCUUGAGGGCAGGAGAGGGCAGCGGAAUGUGUCAUGUAGCGGUGAAAUGCUUAGAUAUGACACAGAACACCGAUCGCGAAGGCAGCUAGCUAAGCUAUAACUGACGCUCAUGCACGAAAGCGUGGGGAUCAAACAGGAUUAGAUACCCUGGUAGUCCACGCUGUAAACGAUGGAUACUAGGUGUAGGAGGUAUCGACUCUGUGCCGCAGCUAACGCAAUAAGUAUCCCGCCUGGGGAGUACGAUCGCAAGAUUGAAACUCAAAGGAAUUGACGGGGGCCCGCACAAGCGGAGGAGCAUGUGGUUUAAUUCGAUGCAACGCGAGGAACCUUACCAGGUCUUGACAUGCCCUACGAUUUCAAAGUAGGAAGUGCCUUUAGGAGGAGCGUAGAGCGAGGUGCUGCAUGGUUGUCGUCAGCUCGUGCCGUGAGGUGUCGGGUUAAGUCCCAUAACGAGCGCAACCCCUGCUAUUAGUUGCUAACAUUUAGGACUGAGCACUCUAAUGGGACUGCCUGUGACAAGCAGGAGGAAGGUGGGGAUGACGUCAAAUCAUCAUGCCCUUUACGUCCAGGGCUACACACGUGCUACAAUGGCCGAUACAGAGGGCAGCGAAGCCGUGAGGUGAAGCGAAUCCCAAAAGCCAUUCUCAGUUCGGAUCGGAGUCUGCAACCCGACUCCGUGAAGUUGGAUUCGCUAGUAAUCGCGCAUCAGCCAUGGCGCGGUGAAUACGUUCCCGGGCCUUGUACACACCGCCCGCCAAGCCAUGGAAGCUGGGGGGACCUAAAGUCGAUAACCGCAACUCCAAGAGAGGGAGUCGCCUAGGGUGGGGUUGGUAAUUGGGGUGAAGUCGUAACAAGGUAACC
rnacentral:rRNA from 1 species